UCUUUUCUGCAGCCUACGAAAAGCUGUUUUUUAACCUUACAUUUCUAAAGGAAGGGUUGCAUUAUUUUUGUCUUCAUCUCUUUCAAGUGCUUAGUUUGUUGUAUCUGCUGUUGGCUGAGCCUGUGAGCAGAAGAUGAGCUGCUUUCCCAUGCUUCUCUUCUUUCUGGCUUUUUUAGCCUGUGAUUACAGCUAUGUAAGAUGUCAAUUAAACAACAUUGUUAAG